CGCAGCAAUGUGUUCAGCUGACCGAUACUAAUAGACCGAGGGCUUGAACCUUCA
rnacentral:rRNA from 1 species